UACAGAGGUCUCAAGCGUUGUUCGGAUUCAUUGGGCGUAAAGGGAGCGUAGGUGGCGGGGUAAGUCGGAUGUGAAAUCCCGGGGCUCAACCCCGGAACUGCAUUCGAUACUGCCUUGCUCGAGUACUGGAGAGGAGAUCGGAAUUUACGGUGUAGCAGUGAAAUGCGUAGAUAUCGUAAGGAAGACCAGUGGCGAAGGCGGAUCUCUGGACAGUUACUGACACUGAGGCGCGAAAGCGUGGGGGAGCAAACGGG
rnacentral:rRNA from 1 species